GACGAACGCUGGCGGCGUGCUUAACACAUGCAAGUCGAACGGAAAGGCCCUGCUUUUGUGGGGUGCUCGAGUGGCGAACGGGUGAGUAACACGUGAGUAACCUGCCCUUGACUUUGGGAUAACUUCAGGAAACUGGGGCUAAUACCGGAUAGGAGCUCCAGCUGCAUGGUGGGGGUUGGAAAGUUUCGGCGGUUGGGGAUGGACUCGCGGCUUAUCAGCUUGUUGGUGGGGUAGUGGCUUACCAAGGCUUUGACGGGUAGCCGGCCUGAGAGGGUGACCGGCCACAUUGGGACUGAGAUACGGCCCAGACUCCUACGGGAGGCAGCAGUGGGGAAUAUUGCACAAUGGGCGGAAGCCUGAUGCAGCAACGCCGCGUGCGGGAUGACGGCCUUCGGGUUGUAAACCGCUUUCGCCUGUGACGAAGCGUGAGUGACGGUAAUGGGUAAAGAAGCACCGGCUAACUACGU
rnacentral:rRNA from 1 species